GUCCACAGACCCACCAUCCUUGAACACAUCUGAUCUUGUCUGAUCUUGGAAGCUACGCAGGGUCAGGCCUGGUUAGUAUUUGGGUAUACCGGGUGCUGUAGGCU
rnacentral:rRNA from 1 species